rnacentral:rRNA from 1 species
AUUGAACGCUGGCGGAAUGCUUUACACAUGCAAGUCGAACGAUGAAGUCUAGCUUGCUAGACGGAUUAGUGGCGAACGGGUGAGUAAUAUAUCGGAACGUAUCCAUUAAUGGGGGAUAACUAGUCGAAAGAUUGGCUAAUACCGCAUACGUCCUACGGGAGAAAGCUAGGGACCUUCGGGCCUGGCGUUAAUGGAGCGGCCGAUAUCUGAUUAGCUAGUUGGUGAGGUAAAGGCUCACCAAGGCGACGAUCAGUAGCUGGUCUGAGAGGACGACCAGCCACACUGGAACUGAGUCACGGUCCAGACUCCUACGGGAGGCAGCAGUGGGGAAUUUUGGACAAUGGGCGCAAGCCUGAUCCAGCCAUUCCGCGUGAGUGAAGAAGGCCUUCGGGUUGUAAAGCUCUUUCGCAAGGGAAGAAAACUUACCCUCUAACAUAGGGUGAGGAUGACGGUACCUUGAUAAGAAGCACCGGCUAACUACGUGCCAGCAGCCGCCGCAGUAA